GGCCGCCGCCGCCAUCUCGCGGGUGCGAUCCGGGUCCCGUCCGCAGGCCGCUGGGUCCGCUGGCCCCCCGCUUCCGGGUCGCCGGGCGCACCACGCCUCCCGCCCCUGGUACCCGAACUACGUGCAGCCUUCGCGGUCAAUUAGCUGGGAGGGAGCUGGUUUACUGCCGAUGGUCGGGACAGAUGCUUGAUGAAGCAAGUGAUUUUCUCUUACUAUCAGCAUGUCUCUUCUGUUCACCUCUGGAGAACUCAGGACUGAAAGGCAUGUGACCUGGAUUGGGAGGAGAGAGGAUAGUCGCUCAAGGGAAUAACUAGGCGUGGAGAAAGGCUCAGUAAUCUGAUGAAAAGCAAAGUGCUAAACAGAACACACAGUGAGCUGCACUUUGAAAGACCAGGUCACCAACCAAGCCAGAAACAGAAACGGGGGCGUGGGUUCGAUCCCUGCUUGCUGAACUAGGAUCCCGCAUGCCUGCCUCACAGCCAAAAAUAAAUGAAUGAAUGAAUGAGUAAAUAAAUAAACUCUUAUGAUUUCAAUAUGUCAUCAAUAUGGAAACAAGAUAUUUUACUUUUUUUUGUACUGAAUCUUUAAAACCCAAUGUGUGUUUGUACUUAGGGCAUCUCUUAAUUCAGACCAGCCACACUGCAACUGUUCAAGGGUCACAAGUGACAAGUGGCUGCUCUAUUGGAUGGCAUAGCUCUAGAGGACAGAAAAUCUAUCUUUUUUUUCCCUCUUUUUCUUUCAAAUGUCUGGUAUUGAAAUAUGCAUUUAUAUUUGUAAACUCCAUUGUGCUGAGAGUCAUAAGGACUCAACAGUAAAGCGAGAUUAAAUCAGUGCCUCUGAGCCUGUGAGAACAUUGUGGUUUCCAUUACAGUUCAUUCUCUUUUUGAUUAGACAUGUUUUUUUUAAAAAUAAGAGUAUAAACCGGACACUGUAUGUAAUUAAUUUAUAAUCUAUUCUUAUAGAGCAUCCUCACUGGAAAGUACCUAUGAGAUCACCCGGCCUAAUGCCCUCUCUUAUUUUCACAAAUGAGGAAACUGAGGUCCAGAAGAAAAUAAGUUACAUAAGGUUACUUGACUUCUUAGUGCUUGGACCUCUACUGGGAUGCAGACACCGUUCUUUUCACUCCGUAAAUUUUCAAACCACCACCAAGAAGAUUAGAAAAUAGUUAAAAUAAUUUUUUUUUAAUGUUCGUCCUGUAAACAUUUGCUCUACCUCCAGCAAGUUCCAUUUCUGGGGGUUACAAAUGCCUUCAAGUAGUUCACAGUCUAGUGUGACUAACAUCAAAAUGUAAACCAAGCAGAUUUCUUUGACAGAGAACUCUGUAGUGCCUUGGAAUUGCCUUUUUGAGCAUCACUGGCAGCACAGACAAACACCAGUCAGGUAGAUUUUCCAUUGAAAAGACUGAGCAAGAAAGCCAGCGUCCACUAACCCUCUGUGUGAAGUGUGGAGUCAUGCUGGGAGAUGCAUGCUGUCACAUGCUAACAGAGGAGACAGACUGCCCCUUCUCUUCUUCCUCUGUCCCCUGCCCUUACACACUCACACAUUUCCCGUACGUUCUAGGUGUGCAUGCACUUCAGUGCUCGCCUUCCUAGAAUUUUCACAAACCCCGUGUUAAUGGGGCACUCUAAAAUGAUUUUUAUUAUUGUUACAAUGAUCACCAUCUAUUACAAUUAGGCAGAUAAUAUGUCAUCCUCAUAUAUAUUAAAGUUCUAAACUAAAGCAUGAACAAAGGAGGGACUUCCCUGGUGCUCCAGUGGUAAGACUCCGUGCUCCCAAUGCAGGGGGCCCGGGUUCGAUCCCUGGUCGGGGAACUAGAUCCCGCAUGCAUGUCACAACUAAGAAACCCGCAUGCGACAACUAAGACCGGGCGCAGCCAAAAUAAAUGAAUAAAUAUUAAAGCGUGAACAAAGGAAAAAA